UACAGAGGGUGCGAGCGUUGUUCGGAAUUAUUGGGCGUAAGGAGCUCGUAGGCGGUUUGUCGCGUCUGCCGUGAAAGUCCGGGGCUCAACUCCGGAUCUGCGGUGGGUACGGGCAGACUAGAGUGAUGUAGGGGAGACUGGAAUUCCUGGUGUAGCGGUGAAAUGCGCAGAUAUCAGGAGGAACACCGGUGGCGAAGGCGGUUCUCUGGGCAUUACCUGACGCUGAGGAGCGAAAGUGUGGGGAGCGAACAGG
rnacentral:rRNA from 1 species